rnacentral:lncRNA from 1 species
GAAAAGGUUCUGUGGGUCCCGGCGAUGCAAGACUGUAAACGCACUGGUCCAGCUACCACUACCAUGUGCCCCAAGCACCAGUUGGCAUUUUGGCACCUAAUGCUGAGCCUCCAUGUUCACUGAUCUGCCAUUUCGGGGAUAAUCGCUCCCACUUAAUCAAGGUUUGUGGCUGAUUAAGCGAGUACCAACUCACUGUCAAGAGCACUGUCAGUCUGUCGCUGCUUUCCUAACCGCUGCUCAGCAAUAGAAAACACGUCUGACAGAGGAAAGGUCGGUAUAAAGACCACCAGCUUUUCAAGCACCCACAAGACUUUUAUGUUAAGAGGCCUCUGUCUCCCCCUCUCCCCCUCCCAUUCUUUCUUUGUUUCUUUCUUUUUUUUCUCUUUCUUUCCUUCUUCACAUCCUGAUCUGGAGCAAUGGCGACGGAAGACGAAGCGCGAGAAGCGGCAGAUGGGGAGGUACGCAAUGGCUCCUUGUAGUCUCUUGAGGUUUCUUUGCAGCACUUGUUUCCUUCUGUUUCCAUGCAUGCAUAGAUACUCUGUGAAGAUGUAAAGCAGAGCAGAAAGUUUCGGUGUUGCGGAAUCAGCUGCACAGUGAGGAGCAUAUUUGUAACAGUUCAGUAGACUUUGGCUAGUUUGCAAGAGAAAUCAUCAUUGUGUCAUAUCUUCUGGUUCCACGGUCUCUUUGUUUUGUUGAUCUCCCUCUGUAUGUUGCAUACACACAAGGUUCUUCAUGCAGUCAGCUCUGUAUGUUUGAAAUGACACUGAUCAUCACAUUUUUGUGUUCCUAAACAAAAGAAUCAGAGUCAAAGCAUGCAACAAGUGAACGAAACUACAUGAGUGAUCAGGUUCCAGUUUGAUUUAUGAAAAACUAUCUAAGUUUCCAGAAAAGGUUAUUUUCCAGAUAUAAUUGUACAAAAAAUAGCAUGUAUUAUCGUUUGUUUAGAAGGAUCAUGUUUCAGGGAACUUGGUGGGCGGAACAAAUCAACAUAUACAAGUACUCCCUCCGUCCCAAAAUUCUUGUCUUAACUUUGUCUAGAUACGGAUGUAUCUAAUACUAAAACGUGACUUGAUACAUCCGUAUUUAGACAAAUCUAAGACAAGAAUUUUGGGACGGAGGGAGUAUAAGUCUAUCAUACACUCUGCUCUGUUCUCUUGAUUACUGACAGAAGAAUUCACUAGCAGUACCCUCUGUUUGUCCACUUGAUAAUUCAUUCCUGAACUUGAUAUGAAGUUAACUGGCAUGCAGAUUCAACCGAUAUUAAUAAAAUACUGUUAGCGAAAACUCAACAAAGCGCUAGAUAUUUUCUUCUACGGUUCUAGCUAUCUAGAAGA